GACGAACGCUGGCGGCGUGCUUAACACAUGCAAGUCGAACGGUGAAGCGAGUGCUUGCACUCGUGGAUCAGUGGCGAACGGGUGAGUAACACGUGAGUAACCUGCCCAUCACUCUGGGAUAAGCACUGGAAACGGUGUCUAAUACUGGAUACGACCAACCCUUGCAUGGGGUGUUGGUGGAAAGAUUUAUCGGUGAGGGAUGGACUCGCGGCCUAUCAGCUUGUUGGCGGGGUAAUGGCCCACCAAGGCGACGACGGGUAGCCGGCCUGAGAGGGUGACCGGCCACACUGGGACUGAGACACGGCCCAGACUCCUACGGGAGGCAGCAGUGGGGAAUAUUGCACAAUGGGCGAAAGCCUGAUGCAGCGACGCCGCGUGAGGGAUGACGGCCUUCGGGUUGUAAACCUCUUUCAGCAGGGAAGAAGCGAAAGUGACGGUACCUGCAGAAGAAGCACCGGCUAACUACGUG
rnacentral:rRNA from 1 species